rnacentral:rRNA from 1 species
AUUGAACGCUGGCGGCAGGCCUAACACAUGCAAGUCGAGCGAGCGGCGGACGGGUGAGUAAUGUCUGGGAAACUGCCUGAUGGAGGGGGAUAACCACUGGAAACGGUAGCUAAUACCGCAUCCCAUCAGAGGUGCCCAGAUGGGAUUAGCUAGUAGGUGGGGUACUGGCUCACCUAGGCGACGCUCCCUAGCUGGUCUGAGAGGAGGACCAGCCACACUGGAACUGAGACACGGUCCAGACGCCUACGGGAGGCAGCAGUGGGGAAUAUUGCACAAUGGGCGCAAGCCUGAUGCAGCCAUGCCGCGUGUAUGAAGAAGGCCUUCGGGUUGUAAAGGACUUUCAGCGAGGAGGCGUUACUCGCAGAAGAAGCACCGGCUAACUCCGGGCCAGCAGCCGCGGUAAUUC